rnacentral:tRNA from 1 species
GAGCCGCUAGCUCAGUUGGUAGAGCAUCUGCCUUUUAAGCAGGUGGUCCCGGUUCGAGGUCCCGGCGGCUCACCA